AGUGAACGCUGGCGGUAGGCCUAACACAUGCAAGUCGAACGGCAGCACAGUAAGAGCUUGCUCUUACGGGUGGCGAGUGGCGGACGGGUGAGGAAUACAUCGGAAUCUACUUUUUCGUGGGGGAUAACGUAGGGAAACUUACGCUAAUACCGCAUACGACCUACGGGUGAAGGCAGGGGAUCUUCGGACCUUGCGCGAUUGAAUGAGCCGAUGUCGGAUUAGCUAGUUGGCGGGGUAAAGGCCCACCAAGGCGACGAUCCGUAGCUGGUCUGAGAGGAUGAUCAGCCACACUGGAACUGAGACACGGUCCAGACUCCUACGGGAGGCAGCAGUGGGGAAUAUUGGACAAUGGGCGCAAGCCUGAUCCAGCCAUACCGCGUGGGUGAAGAAGGCCUUCGGGUUGUAAAGCCCUUUUGUUGGGAAAGAAAAGCAGCAGGUUAAUACCCCGCUGUUCCGACGGUACCCAAAGAAUAAGCACCGGCUAACUUCGUG
rnacentral:rRNA from 1 species